GGAGUCUCUAAGCAACACCAUGCAGUUCUGAGAGGAAGGACGGAAACAGGGUGUUAAGCACCCCUCAGUACUGUCAGAUGGUGGGAAAGGCAAAAAGCAGAUGGGAGCACCAAAACUGAUCCAUGAAUCACCCAUGGGGACAUCACCUUUGAUGCUUACGUGUUUAUUUGAGAACUCUUAAAAUCUGAUCUUAAAAUCUGUGGACACUUAGAGAUAAACAGGCACUCUCAGUAGAUUUUUGCUGCUGAUUUUUCUCAUUUCGACAAAUGUCACCAAGGCAAGGUGGCCUUGAAAAUAUUUCAACAGACCACCACUUCACAGACUCCAUGCCGCUACCUUAUACUAACGAUUCUACUGGCUUCGCUUAGAGGAAUUAAGCUAAAUAUAGGUUCCCAUCUACACGGAUUCACCACCCCAUUAAUAGCUCUAUGCUAUCUACUAGAGACAUUUGCAAGAAAAACAUCAGACCACAUACCCCGGAGCACAGAGCACUGGUCGGCCACCGCUCUUCUAUUCCCACAAACCAACCAUGAUGGGCAAGAACAUUUACUCACAGCGCACAGAGGAGUAGUAUUUUAUUAAAGUUAAAUAUGUAACCCAACAAAUCGAAUUACCACCGUUUGAGUUAUGAGAACAAUCCACUCUCAGCAUGAAGGAUCCAAAAACCAAGCCAACAUUUGCGUGUCCCAUGACCAACCGCCACUUGUCAGGUAUCUCUUCGUUUCCACUGGGGCUGGCUGGCAACCCUGAUGCUAAGGAGUCAUUCAAGAGCAUCCAGAAGUUCAACAUUUACCAGCCCAUCUUUUUCUCCGACCCUGCCCUCCAACCUCUCUGAGUCCAAUGCCUUCCAGCAGAUACACAUCCACGCACCGCUAGGGAUGGUUAAAGAAUACGAAAAUUCGGACGCGCUCCAAAAAGCCUUUGCAAAAGUCAUCCACAGCACUCAACAGUGAAUUUAGAAACCCCAAUUUUUUUCUGAGUUUGAAGUUUUUAAGCCUUGCGGAUGGUUGGAGUAGGAAAAAGGAAAUUUACUAGGCAGUGCAGAGGAAAUCUUGUUGUCCUCUAUUGUGGCAGUGGGGGUGUUGCCCAAUCCUGACUUAUCUGCCUUGAUAAAGGAAACCAAAGAAAAGAGUAACAAGCACAAGAUUUUGUCAAACGAAAAGGAACCCUUUUCUUACCUUAAUGGUGCUGGCCAUAAUGCAAUCAAAUUUAUUGAUCGUUAAUAAAUGUUAAUAAUAAUUAUUGCUUCUCUCUGACCAGAAAGUAGUUUUGAUGAGGUUGUUUAGAGCGGAUGAGAUUGUGCUAAGUCUGGGAAAUGAAGUCAGCCAAUGGCAGGAAGAGGUUUCUAUUGGUCCUGGCUGCCCAGCCCGAAGAAACAGGAUAUUUGGGAGUGGAGAGAUAAGGGACCCUGAAAACAAUGUUGUUUUUCUUGAUGAUAUGCAGCCAGGAGGUGUUUUUUUUUUUUUUUUUUUUUUUUUAAUUAAAAGAAAAAAGCAUCCAUUGCCUGGGACCAGGACCGCCACAGCAGGUGUGAUUUGGUGUGCUGUCGUGUGACACGCUGCCCUGAGGCAGGAUGCAGAUGUGGCGGGACUCCACAUGGCUUCACACGGGCUCUGAGCACCUCGGAACGAGGCGCAGAGGGCCCCCUCGAGCCAGGGUGCCAGGCAUUCUGCACCCCCAGCUCCCUGGACCUGUCACACGCCUGGGACACAGGCCAUGAGCCGCUCCUCCCCAUACCCUCCCUGUUCCUUUCUCCCAAAAGGAAACUCUGCAGGUAGAACUUAGUUCAUAUCAAUGUAAUAUAUUUCCUUGCAGAUUUUUAAUGGCCUUCAUUUAUUCAACAUCUCACAUGAGUUUUCCAGAAGAAUUUCAUUUUCUCUUUCCAAACACAUGCAAUUUUUAUUUUGCUCCAUGAUAAACCAGAUGAAAACAUAAAGACUUGCUAAUCGAUAAGGUAAGCAAGGCAAACAGAGAAGAGUAAUAAACCUGUCAAAUCCUAGUUUUUAAAUAUUUACUGAAAAUUCAAGUAACAAAAAUAAAUAAAUCCCAAAUAACUAAAAUUAUACUACAGGUGGUUUAUAAUGUGAGCAUGCCGGUCCUGCUCUAACAAAAGUCAGUGUGGCAGGACCACAGACCCCGAGAGAACUCUUGGCUAUGCACGGAUGCCACGUGAAGACCUCAUUAAGUGUUUGAAAACCCAAGCUCCAAGUUCAGGGCCACACGUCUGUUUUCCACUCAAAGGAAGUACAGCUAAUGGGGGCUUGAACAUUCCUUAGAGGAUUUCAAGCCUUUAAUUACUCAUUUUCAGGAAAUUACUUGUUCUCUGGAAGAAACAACAUUUUGCUUUGAAUCUAGCUACACGAAAGCUGGACCAGGGAAGAGGUGUGGUCUCCAUAGGGGACCCGCAGAACACAAGAGACCAAAUCCUGAGUGAUUGAGCAACGCCUGUUUCCAGAGGUGGGUGGUCAGGGGAAUGGAUUUCGCUGGGACUUCAGGCCUGCAUCUGUCAAGAGUUCUAUAAACAAGCCCAGGUUCCCAUAUCUUCUAUUGUCCCCUGGCUCCCCUCCUUGUGUUAGGAUAGGAGGAGGGGGGACAAAGAGACAGCAAAGGGAAGAGAGAAUAGAAUAGAAUAGAAUAGAAUAGAAUAGAAUAGAAGAAAA